CAGCCGCCGCGGGAAUACGAGGGGGGCAAGCGUUGUUCGGAAUUAUUGGGCGUAAAGGGUGCGUAGGCGGCUUGACAAGUCUUGUGUGAAAUCUAUGGGCUCAACCCAUAGUCUGCACGGGAAACUGUCGGGCUUGAGAAUGGGAGAGGUGAGUGGAAUUUCCGGUGUAGCGGUGAAAUGCGUAGAUAUCGGAAGGAACACCUGUGGCGAAAGCGGCUCACUGGACCAUUUCUGACGCUGAUGCACGAAAGCUAGGGGAGCAAACAGGAUUAGAGACCCCCGUAGUCCCUGUCUCUUAUAC
rnacentral:rRNA from 1 species